AGGCGGUGGGUCUCUCCGGCUGAAGACCCCAGGGGAUACCGCUGGGCUGACCUGAGCUGGGGGGCGCUGUUGAGCACUGGGAGGAGGAGCCGCAGAAGUCACAGCUGGGGCUGUUGCUGCCUGUCGCCCAGGCAGCGAGCUGCGCUGCAGGUAAAAAUAGGCUGCCGGGGUGGGGAGCGCUGGAACUGCCACCUCGGAGCGAGCGGUUCUCAGCAAAAGCAAAGCAGCAUAUGGGUCUCUUGGUAACACCCUGGACCUUCUUUUAUCUUAGAACGUCUCACAUUUUCCUCAUUGACAUGUUCCGGUCGUCAGAGAGACCAGAAGGUCAAUAUCCCUGGAGGGCUCAUGGCUACGCAGACUGUGCCCCAGAGCUCAUGGAGGGCUGGUGUAUGCCACAAGAUGCCAAGAGCCACCAGGAAAAAAACAGUGCCUGAAUGGAACCCCUGAGGACAAACAGCUCAGAAGACAUUCCUCCUGCGUCCUUGAUGAUGUAUCCCAGAGGAGCUUUCUUCAUGACAGACGUGCCUGUGACCUUUAGCAGGCUGCUUUCAGGGCCAUCUCGGUGUCAAGGAGAGAAGGCACCCCUUCUCUAACCUCAGCUGCUGAACAAGACACAAGCUUCCCAGGUUCUGAGCUGUCACAGGUCAGUGGCCCCCCGGGGCUCAGCAUGGCAUUCG
rnacentral:lncRNA from 1 species